UGCCUGCUGUGGGACUUGCUGCACAGAAAUAAACACCUGUGUCUGACUCCUCAGCCUGACUGAUAGUGAGAGAUAUAUUCUCCAUUUUCAGUCUUGCAGGUGAGCUGGACAUCAUCAUUGAGUUUUCCAAAGAGAGAAGAUGGGGACUGCUGUACAGUGAUGGCUCCUGAGAACCC